UUAAAACAAGAAUGUGUCCAUAGUACACGGAUGCCCCACUCGCACUAUCAUUUUACAUGUUCACUGGACCGUGAAAUUGGGGUCAAUACUUUAAUUUGGCAUUAAAAUUAGAAAGAUCAUAUCAUAGUUAACAUGUGUACUAAGUUUCAAGUUGAUUGGACUUCAACUUCAUCAAAAACUACCUUGACCAAAAACUUUAACCUGAGCUUCACACUAUCUUCUUCUUUGUUCAGUGGACCAUGAAAUUGGGGUCAAUACUUUAAUUUGACAUUAAAAUUAGAAAGAUCAUAUCAUAGGGAACAUGUGUACUAAGUUUCAAAUUGAUUGGACUUCAACUUCAUCAAAAACUACCUCGACCAAAAACUUUAACCUGAAGCGGGACGAACGAACGGACGAACGAACGGACGAACGGACGAACGGAGGCACAGACCAGAAAACAUAAUGCCCCUCUUCUAUCGUAGGUGGGGCAUAAAAAACAUU
rnacentral:lncRNA from 1 species